rnacentral:misc_RNA from 1 species
AUUGAAUCAUAAUUCUAAGGCUUUGGUGGCUAGCCUAAAGCCACCAAGAUCGCCAUGAGCAUCAUAUCCUGGAACUGCCAGGGGUGUGGGCAGCCCCAGGUGGUUCGAGCUCUGAGGGAGCUCAAUAAAAAACAUAGCCCCUCCAUUCUGUACCUUAUGGAGACUAAAAAUAAGAAACGGUACAUGGAAACUAUAAGAAGAAAAUUGGGAUUUACUGCAGCUUAUUAUGUUGAGCCGCUGGGUAAAGCUGGUGGAUUAGCGUUGUGGUGGACAGAUGAGGUAAAAAUAUUAAUCAAUGACAGUUCUACUCAUUUAAUAGAUGCCGAAGUUUCUUUUAUGAACAGAAAUUUACAAUGGCAUACAACUUUUAUCUAUGGCUGCCCAAAUCGUGGAGAUAGAGGUGAUCUAUGGAGGAUUAUUAAAAACUUACAGGGCCACUUUUCAGAUCCUUGGCUCUGUAUUGGCGACCUCAAUGCCAUUCUGCAUCCAGACGAAAAAGAAGGUGGCAGUCAAGUCUGAAGUUCUCAAACUCGAGAUUUCCAGGACUUCAUUGCCAGCUGUGCUUUGCUGGAAAUUGAGAGUAAAGGGCCUAAGUUCACCUGGUUCAAUAAACAGUUUGGUGCAACUGCAAUUCAAGAAAAGAUUGAUAGGGCACUUGCUACUGUUGAAUGGAGAGAGACAAUGCCAAAUUUUGUAAUUAUCCAUGAAGCUCUUUUUGCCUCUGAUCACAGGCCAUUAGUUUUGUGUCUUGAACCUUCGUUCUGUAAGAAGAUUUUUUUUGUUCAGAUUUGAAUCCAAAUGGCUCCAUCAUCAUGAGUUCACCUCCAUAGUUGAGAAAGUGUGGAAUCAGCAAGUUAGGGGAUCUGCUUUGCAUUCUAUGGUGCAAAAACUAGCAUUUUGUAGACAGGCGCUAUGUCGCUAGAAUAGAAGUCAAUUCGUUGGGAAUCAGAAUGAGAUGAAAAUUCUGCAGAAACAACUUGAAGAUAUCUACGAAGAUGUUAACAACCCGGACAACAAAGAAACAGAAUUUCAAAUACUCAACCAUCUUCAGGAACUGGGGUUGAGAGACGAGGCUCACUGGCACCAAAGAUCUCGAGUUUGUUGGCUUCAAGCAGGUGAUCGUAACUCUAGAUUCUUUCACUUGUCUACAAUCCAACGAAGACAUAGAAACUCCAUUUCAAGACUGCAGAAAAGUGACGGGACCUGGAUUGAAGCGGAGCUGGGAAUCAGAGAGGAGAUCUUAUCUCAUUUUAAGCAGAUUUACUCUAGCAACAAUACUUCCAGAGCUGAUGAGUGUCCAGCUUAUUGCCCACCAUUGUUACACAACAAAUGAAUGACCAUCUCAUGUCCCCUGUGUCUGAUGAUGAAAUUAAGCAAGCAACUUUUGAUUUAGGAGGGAGUAAAGCACCAGGCCCUGAUGGUCUUUCAGGUCUCUUUUAUCAUAGUAGCUGGCGUAUAAUUUGGCAGGAUGGAUGUAAGGCUGUCAAGAGUUUUUUUGAGAGGGGAUUUAUGGCUACAGAGAUAUAUAGAACUAAUGUUGUGUUGAUUCCCAAAUGUAAACAUCUUAUUUCUGUUAAUCAAUAUAGGCCCAUAAGCCUAUGCAAUUU